rnacentral:rRNA from 1 species
UACAGAGGGGGCAAGCGUUGUUCGGAGUUACUGGGCGUAAAGGGUGUGUAGGCGGUUUUCUAAGUUUGGUGUGAAAUCUCCCGGCUCAACCGGGAGGGUGCGCCGAAAACUGGGAGACUAGAGUGCGGGAUGGGAGAGUAGAAUUCCUGGUGUAGCGGUGAAAUGCGUAGAUAUCAGGAGGAACACCGGUGGCGAAGGCGGAUCUCUGGGCCUUGCCUGACGCUGAGGCGCGAAAGCUAGGGGAGCGAACAGG